CGACCAGAGGGGCGCUCUUUCUGCGCGGUGCAUUCUGGGGACCGAGGUGGAGCCCGCCGCUGCCGUCAUCGCCUGAGGGGAACGAGAAGAGGCCGCGACCAGGGAGAAAACGCAGAGUCGUCACCGGAGAGAAGUCGACUCCCUAGCAGCAGCCCACGCCAGAGGGCCGCCCACCUACCUGUUCGCCCGUCCCCCUGCCCUGUUCACAAUGCAGCCUGCUUCUGCAAAGUGGUACGAUCGAAGGGACUAUGUCUUCACUGAAUUUUGUGUUGAAGACAGUAAGGAUGUUAAUGUAAAUUUUGAAAAAUCCAAACUUAAAUUCAGUUGUCUCAGAGGAAGUGAUAAUUUUAAGUAUUUAAAUGAAGUUGAUCUUUUUCACAGUAUUGAUCCAAAUGAUUCCAAGCAUUAAAAAAACGGACAGAUCAAUUGUAUGCUAUUUACAAAAAGGAGAAUCUGGCCAGUCAUGGCCAAGGUUAACAAAAGGAAGGGCAAAGCUCAACUGGCUUAGUGUGGACUUCAAUAAUUGGAAAGACUGGGAAGAUGAUUCAGAUGAAGACAGGUCUAAUUUUGAUCGUUUCUCUGAGAUGAUGAACAACAUGGGUGGUGACGAGGAUGCAGAUUCACCAGAAGCAGAUGGAGCAGGUGAUGAUUCACAAGACAGUGAUGAUGAAAAAAUGCCAGAUCGGGAGUAAGGAAUAUUGUCAUCACCUGGAUUUUGGGAAAGAAAAAUAACUUCUCUGCAAGAUUUCACAAUUGAGAGAAUUCCUGAGUUGACAGCUCUAAAGGCAGAUG